GUUGUAUGGUUAAGUGACUAAGCGUACACGGUGGAUGCCUUGGCAGUUGGAGGCGAUGAAGGACGUAUUAACUUGCGAUAAGCCUAGUCAAGCUAGUAAAAAGCGCUUGAGACUAGGAUUUCCGAAUGGGGAAACCCACCUGCUUGCAGGUAUCUUACACUGAAUACAUAGGUGUAAGAGGCGAACGCGGAGAACUGAAACAUCUAAGUACCCGUAGGAACAGAAAUCAACCGAGAUUCCGGAAGUAGCGGCGAGCGAAACCGGACCAGCCCUUAAGCUUAUUAUGUGUUAGUGGAACAUUCUGGAAAGUUUGACGAUACAGGGUGAUAGUCCCGUACACGAAAAUGCAUCUUAAGUGAAAUCGAGUAGGUCGGAGCACGUGAAACUUUGACUGAAUAUAGGUGGACCAUCAUCUAAGGCUAAAUACUCCCAACUGACCGAUAGUGAACCAGUACCGUGAGGGAAAGGCGAAAAGAACCCCUGUGAGGGGAGUGAAAUAGAACCUGAAACCGUGUACGUACAAGCAGUAGGAGCCCUUCGAGGGUGACUGCGUACCUUUUGUAUAAUGGGUCAGCGACUUAUAUUUUGUAGCGAGGUUAACCGAUUAGGGUAGCCGUAGGGAAACCGAGUCUUAACUGGGCGUAUAGUUGCAAGGUAUAGACCCGAAACCCGGUGAUCUAGCCAUGGGCAGGUUGAAGGUUGAGUAACAUCAACUGGAGGACCGAACCCACUAACGUUGAAAAGUUAGGGGAUGACCUGUGGCUAGGAGUGAAAGGCUAAUCAAACCGGGAGAUAGCUGGUUCUCCCCGAAAUCUAUUUAGGUAGAGCCUCGGACGAAUACUUACGGGGGUAGAGCACUGUUAAGGCUAGGGGGUCAUCCCGACUUACCAACCCUUUGCAAACUCCGAAUACCGUAAAGUACUAUCCGGGAGACACACGGCGGGUGCUAACGUCCGUCGUGAAGAGGGAAACAACCCAGACCGCCAGCUAAGGUCCCAAAGUCAUAGUUAAGUGGGAAACGAUGUGGAAAGGCCCAGACAGCCAGGAGGUUGGCUUAGAAGCAGCCAUCCUUUAAAGAAAGCGUAAUAGCUCACUGGUCGAGUCGGUCUGCGCGGAAGAUGUAACGGGGCUAAACUAUGCACCGAAGCUGCGGAUUCAAACUUUGUUUGAGUGGUAGGGGAGCGUUCUGUAAGCCGUUGAAGGUGAACCGGGAGGUUUGCUGGAGGUAUCAGAAGUGCGAAUGCUGACAUGAGUAACGAUAAUGCGGGUGAAAAACCCGCACGCCGGAAGACCAAGGGUUCCUAUCCCAUGUUAAUCAGGGUAGGGUAAGUCGACCCCUAAGGCGAGGCCGAAAGGCGUAGUCGAUGGGAAACGGGUUAAUAUUCCCGUACUUGGUAUAAUUGCGAUGGGGGGACGGAGCAGGCUAAACAAGCAUGGCGUUGGUUGUCCAUGUGAAAGUGAGUAGGUUGGUGACUUAGGAAAAUCCGGGUUGCUAAGACUGAGACACGAGACGAGCCACUAAGGUGGUGAAGUUGUUGAUGCCAUACUUCCAGGA
rnacentral:rRNA from 1 species